rnacentral:tRNA from 1 species
GGGUUUCUCACUUGGUAAAGUGCUUGCUUGAUAAGCAUGAGGACCUGAGUUUGAUACUCAGAAUCCA